rnacentral:sRNA from 1 species
UGGUGAUAAUUCCGUGACAGGUGGAAGAUGGGGUUCGUUCUUCCGGUUCAGGAAUCACUAUGUAUUUCCUUCUAGUGAUAAAAAUAAAACUACGAGAAGGCAAUGUGAGGUUUUAGUACAUCAUAGCACUUUAUUUUAUGAAAACAUGUAGCAGAUUUUCCACAAAAAUACUUAUUUUUAAUCCAAAAGUAUAUUGCUUCAUAAUGGUAUUCAGUGUACAGCAGAGUAAAAGGAAGUUGAUUCGUGAUGUAUUGGUUAAUUUUGCAUGGCUUCUUAAGGCCAGCAAAACACUGGCAGUUUUAUCUUUGUGAAGAACAGGCCCUUCCUGUUUGGGGAAGUUGGCUUUUAUGUCAGCUGUUGGCCAGUGGUCACUUCCAGGCCUGGUGUCUCCGGCCCUGUGGUCUGUAGGGCCAGACUGUGCUGGCCUGGAGAGUGCUGGGGCAGGUGGAGGCCAGGGAAUGGUCCCAUACAGUGAUCUCCCUGCCCUGGUUACAGGCGGCUUCGAGAACCAGAGGAGAAGAGCACAGGGUCAUGGAGCAGGCGGGCCGAAGCCAGGGCCACAGGGAGCUCUCCAUGACCCCCCAAGGUGGGUGUGGGGGUCGGGGGUGUGUCACGUUAGGGAACUCAGUGAGUCCGAAGAACAAUUUGAAAUGUUGGGAAAAAAGAGGAAUUUGAUGUAAGCCAGGGGUGAUCCCUGAGGUAGAGGCCUGUCUCUGAUGGCAUGAGCUCUAAGGGUCCUGGAGGAUUGGUACAUCUUAGAACAUUCCAGUUAGCCCUCUUUAGGGGAAACUGGCAUAGGAUUGAUGCAGAAGGCAUUUUUGAUGAUGGGACCAAAAUUCAAGUCUCCUCGGUAGCAUUCUAGGAUUGACUAGAUUCUAGGAUCUGGUAGAUUCUAGGAUUCUAGUGGGUAGAGGCCAGGGGUGCUGUAAAACAUCCUGCAGUGCACAGGAUGGUCCCACAAGAGAGGAUGAUCCGGCCCAGAAUGUCAGUGCUGAGCCUCAGAAACUCAUCUAAGGCCUGGGCCACUAAAGUAAUGUGACUGUUCACUCAUGACAACUUCAGAUGGUAAAUGGACUUAGGAUCGUAUUUUCUUUAAAAGAAAAAUAAGAAGCUGGUUUUUCAGCCGGGUUCCUUUCCCCUAUGCACUGGAAUACCCCUGGUAGGUGUGAGCUGCAUGCUACUGUGGGGAUUCAGCACCGAAGUCUAGGUGCUUUUGUUUUCUCCAGCAGCCUCUUCUUAGAGCAUGACUGCAAAGAAAAAGACUUUUGUUUUGCAAAAGAAAAGCAGCUCGGUGACUCCCUCCACAUCGCCACAGUUGAGUCAGACAGCAGUGGCAGUCGUUUGCCAGCGGAAGGAGUUCCUGCUAAGGGGAGGUGCAGGAGAACUAAUUUAUUAUUGUGCAACUGCCAGUCCUGCACAUUCCAAUUAUGGUAAGUGCUCUGCACAGGCAUGUAACAAAACAUAGACCUGUUUUGAAGUGGCUUGUUACCCAAGGGUGCCUCACUCUCAUCUGCACCAACAGGAAGAUGAACUGUGAAGCCUCCUUUAAGGGGCAGGAGGAGCAAAGCUGUCCUAGGCCAACCAGAGAUUCAUCUUUCAUGCACAGUGACACGUUGAUAAGAAAUUAUAGAAGUACCACCAAGAAUAGGGAAAGACAAGCCAGAGGCUGGAAGAAGAUACCUGCAGAAUACAGAACUGAAAAAUGAUCAGUAUCAAAACAUAUAAGAAUUUUGACAAAUGAAUAAGAAGAGUACAAAUAACCCAACAAAAAGUCAAAAGGCGUGAUCAGGCAUUUCACAGAAGCAAACACCUUUGGUGGAUGCCCAUGAGGAGGCUCCGUCACAUCAGUGCUCAGGAGAUGCAAACCCAGAUCCCAGGGGUGUGCAACCCACCCGUUCUGCCUGCAGGAUCUGCAAACCCAGCAAAACCUAGUUCUAGAGAGACUGGAUUCACUGCAUGUCUUCAUCACUGCUGGAGGGAGCGCAGACUGCUAUCGCCUCUUAGAAAAUGACUUAGUUCUUGUGUAAUUUGGGCAUUCACACAUCCUCAUCCUAGAUCCAGCUUUUCCACUCUCGCACACAUACUGGAAAACCUGUACGGGGACAUCCACUGCAGCACUGCUCAUACCAAACACAACCUACAUGUUCUCUCUGCACAGAGAGGGGAGAAGAGCCGGUCAAUUCACUCAGUGGACUCUCUGCUCAGUAGUGGGUGUGAGUAAGCCGCAGCCGCCCAGACCUCAUGGGCCAACCUCUGUC